rnacentral:rRNA from 1 species
UACGGGGGGGGCAAGCGUUGUUCGGAAUUACUGGGCGUAAAGGGCCAGUAGGCGGCCAACUAAGUCGGACGUGAAAUCCCCAGGCUCAACCUGGGAACUGCGUCCGAUACUGGAUGGCUUGGAUUUGGGAGAGGGAUGCGGAAUUCCAGGUGUAGCGGUGAAAUGCGCAGAUAUCAGGAGGAACACCGGUGGCGAAGGCGGGUCUCUGGGCCGAUACUGACGCUGAGGAGCGAAAGCGUGGGGAGCGAACAGG